UGGCCAGACUCCUACGGGAGGCAGCAGUGAGGAAUAUUGGUCAAUGGGCGAGAGCCUGAACCAGCCAAGUCGCGUGAGGGAGUACUGCCCUAUGGGUUGUAAACCUCUUUUGUCGGGGAGCAAAAGCCGGACGUGUCCGCUGUGAGAGUACCCGAAGAAAAAGCAUCGGCUAACUCCGUGCCGGCAGCCGCGGUAAUACGGAGGAUGCGAGCGUUAUCCGGAUUUAUUGGGUUUAAAGGGUGCGCAGGCGGAUUUUUAAGUCAGCGGUCAAAUCGUGGGGCUCAACCCCAUCCAGCCGUUGAAACUGGGGAUCUAGAGUGUGCGAGAGGUAUGCGGAAUGCGUGGUGUAGCGGUGAAAUGCGUAGAUAUACGGAGGAACACCAGUGGCGAAGGCGGAUUGCUGGACAGUAACUGACGCUGAGGCGCGAAAGCGUGGGGAGCAAACAGGAUUAGAUACCCCAGUACA
rnacentral:rRNA from 1 species